UGGGGAAUAUUGGACAAUGGGCGAAAGCCUGAUCCAGCCAUGCCGCGUGAGUGACGAAGGCCUUAGGGUUGUAAAACUCUUUCGUCGGGGACGAUAAUGACGGUACCCGAAGAAGAAGCUCCGGCUAACUUCGUGCCAGCAGCCGCGGUAAUACGAAGGGAGCUAGCGUUGUUCGGAAUCACUGGGCGUAAAGCGCACGUAGGCGGAUAGUUAAGUCAGGGGUGAAAUCCUGGGGCUCAACCCCAGAACUGCCUUUGAUACUGGCUGUCUCGAGGUCGAGAGAGGUUGGUGGAAUUCCUAGUGUAGAGGUGAAAUUCGUAGAUAUUAGGAAGAACACCGGUGGCGAAGGCGGCCCACUGGAUCGGUACUGACGCUGAGGUGCGAAAGCGUGGGGAGCAAACAGGAUUAGAUACCCUGUAGUCCCUGAGCGGGCUGGCAAGGCGCAU
rnacentral:rRNA from 1 species